UCCUCUUUCACCACCUCUAGACCACCAAAUGGCGAGCUGCGAGCAUCGAUAGACUCGUCUCUUCCUCCUUAUCACGCAUGUGGGAGUUGUUUACGACGAUUUGGCCGGAAAUGUGGAGAUCGAAGCCAACAUUUUUACUGUAGCAAAUUAGUCAACGCCGAUUUCCGGCCACCUCCAGUCAUAAACCCAGGUCCAUUAGAAGCGCCUUAAGCCGCUCUUCAUGCUCGCCAAGUCUCAUAACCCAGAUCGAAGCAUGGAGGAAGAAAGCAUAAUUGGAAAAUUUCACUGUACAUCGGAGUGCUUAAUUGUUCGGCUACUUCAAGGUGAUUGACGGUUUGAGUUGGUGGACGAUUGUGGAUCGUAUUUUGAGCUGAAUUGAAGACGCAGCGGGAUUAUCGAGCGGGUAAUCCUACAGGACAGGAGAACCAGGACGGUGACCGUGCGGUUAGAGCAAUUGUUAGAGUUUUACAGCAAUUGUAAGUUGUGAGGUGUGUUAUGCUCAUUUAGAGCUUUACAAUAUUGCUUGUGAGAGUGAAUUGUAAUAAUGAACUCGAGGUUUCGAGAUUUGGAGUUUGUGUACCUUGUGGUGAGAUUAUAUUGAGAAAAAAAUUCAGAACGUUUAUUUGAUUAAGUGGUUUAAUUCAUGUUUCGGAUUUGAAUUUAUUAUU